UAGUUUGUCAGCUAAGUGGCGCACGGGUGAGUAAUAUAUAGUUAAUCUGCCCCAAAGAAGAGAAUAAUUGUUGGAAACGACUUGUAAUGCUCUAUAUGCCUUUAUCACAUAAGUGAGCAAGGGAAAUAUUUAUAGCUUUGGGAUGAGACUGUACGGUAUCAGUUAGUUGGUGAGGUAAUGGCUCACCAAGACUAUGACGCCUAACUGGUUUGAGAGGAUGAUCAGUCACACUGGAACUGAGACACGGUCCAGACUCCUACGGGAGGCAGCAGUGGGGAAUAUUGCACAAUGGACGAAAGUCUGAUGCAGCAACGCCGCGUGGAGGAUGACACAUUUCGGUGCGUAAACUCCUUUUAUAUGAGAAGAUAAUGACGGUAUCAUAUGAAUAAGCACCGGCUAACUUCGUGCCAGCAGCCGCGGUAAUACGAGGGGUGCAAGCGUUACUCGGAAUCACUGGC
rnacentral:rRNA from 1 species